rnacentral:rRNA from 1 species
UGGGGGGAUAGCCCGGAGAAAGUCCGGAUUAAUACCGCAUAAUCUCUACGGAGCAAAGUGGGGGGAUCUUCGGACCUCACGCUAUUAGAUGAGCCCGCGUUAGAUUAGCUUGUUGGUGAGGUAAUGGCUCACCAAGGCAACGAUCUAUAGCUGGUUUGAGAGGAUGAUCAGCCACACUGGGACUGAGACACGGCCCAG